UGAAUCUUGUUCGAGAGCUGUAAAUAUAUUUGUAACAUUUCAUUAUCGAUGUUAAUUCCUCCAUAUAUUUAUGUACUGGGUAAUUGAAAAUAAAGAUGGUUUUUGGGAGAUGAGGCGGAGUUCUGGAAUUGGGAAAAUGGGGAUUUUUUAAAUUUUUUGUUUGUAGAAUGUGGAUUUUUUUAACGCGCAGUGGUGGAGGGAAUUUUUUGGCAAAUGUGACGUGAAUACAGAAUUUUCAGUUUUAACAAUUUAAUCCAGAAUAUUAUGUAUUUUUCCAGCGUCAACUUGUACAUAUUUUGCCAAAUCAAUGGUAUUUUUAAGGUCGAAAAUUCCGCCUCAUCUCCCAAAUGGUUUAGUGUGAAUAUUGUCACAUAUUGGCACAACAUGCGGGGUCCCCACGGGCCUUGAAAAUUCUGGAAAGUCCUUGAAUUGGAAAACAAAUUCCAGGACCGGAAAAUCCUUGAAAAUCAAUGGAAGUCAUUGAAAGUCCUGGAAUUAAUUUCCUUAACCUCCAGCUGUGCCAACAUUAGUGAUUUUGAUUAAAAUUACUGAAUAAAGUGAAAUAUUUGCUGGGUAAAGUCUAAAAUCCGUGCCAUUUUCAAAGAUUUUUCCCAGUUCUAGGUCCUUGAAUUUUCUCGAAAAGGGCCUUGUCAUUAUCUUAUCUUACCCAAAAUGAACAAAUGAUGGCAAAAAUACCGUUUUGUACAUUUCCAAUAAGAAUCAGAUAGAGGAAAGGAUUUUCAAAGGAUGGUUUAAAAUCUAAGAACCACGGAUUACAAAAAUCUUUUCUGGAUGUGUUUAUCUAUUCGACCCCUAAAAUGGCCACAAGCAGGAAUAUGAGCCCGCAGUACCAAGGUGUGACACUAAUUCUUUAAAAAAAGUUUAUAUAUUAUGUUUAUAUUCUGAAUAUAUGCGUAAAAUGUAUUAUCAUUACAUUGUAUAUAGGGUUAUGAUUAAAUUUUACAAAUAUUGCCUAGAGCUUGUUAACACUCUCUAAACUAAUUUCCCCAUAAGCGUUUCGUAAUUGCGUUAUGUACAUGUAUAUUAUUAUUCAAAUAUAAAAUGUUGAUAUGGUGUUAGCAUUGAUAGUCAUGGGAAAAGAUGUACAUUAAUUAAACGAAUAUUGAUUUAAUUAACCGUAUAAAAUUGUUAAUAUUCUUAUUCUUUAAUUUUCUGCCUCAAUUCUUUUUGAGAAGUUUAAUAAACAUGAUAGUUUAUAUUUGAA
rnacentral:lncRNA from 1 species